AUUGAACGCUGGCGGCAGGCCUAACACAUGCAAGUCGAACGAGUGGCGGACGGGUGAGUAAAGUCUGUGAAACUGCACGAUGGAGGGGGAUAACCACUGUAAACGGUAGCUAAUACCGCAUACCAUCGGAUGUGCCCAGAUGGGAUUAGCUAGUUGGUGGGGUAACGGCUGACCUAGGCGACGAUCCCUAGCUGGUCUGAGAGGAUGACCAGCAACAGUGGAACUGAGACACGGUCCAGACUCCGACGGGAGGCAGCAGUGGGGAAUAUUGCACAAUGGGCGCAAGUCUGAUACAGCCAUGCCGCGUGUAUGAAGAAGGCCUUCGGGUUGUAAAGUACUUUCAGCGAGGAGGCGUUACUCGCAGAAGAAGCACCGGCUAACUCCGUGCCAGCAGCCGCGGUAAUAC
rnacentral:rRNA from 1 species